rnacentral:rRNA from 1 species
GAUCCCAUCAGAACUCCGAAGUUAAGUGUGCUUGGGCGAGCGUAGUACUAGGAUGGGUGACCUCCUGUGAAGUCCUCGUGUUGCACCC